AAUACGUAGGGAACUGAAAUAUCUAAGUACCUACAGGAAAAGAAAGUAAUAACGAUUCUGUCAGUAGCGACGAGCGAACGCGGAGGAGCCAGAUACCUAAGGUUACAAAAUUAUAUAAUAGAUGAACGAUGUGGGAAAAUCGGUCGAAGAAGGUGAGAGCCCUGUAGUCGAAAUUAUAUAAUCCAUGGUAUCAGAAAGUAGGGCGGGACACGUGGAAUCCCGUUUGAAGAUAGGAGGACCAUCUCCUAAGGCUAAAUACUACUUGGUGACCGAUAGUGAACCAGUACAGUGAUGGAAAGGUGAAAAGAACCCCGGGAGGGGAGUGAAAGAGAACCUGAAACUGUGUGCUUACAAUUAGUCAGAGCCCGUUAAUGGGUGAUGGCAUGCCUUUUGUAGAAUGAACCGGCGAGUUAUGUUACAUAGCAAGGUUAAGGAUGAAGGUCCGGAGCCGAAGCGAAAGCGAGUCUGAAUAGGGCGCUUAAGUUGUGUGAUGUAGACCCGAAACUGGGUGAUCUAGCCAUGAGCAGGUUGAAGUAAGGGUAGUACCUUAUGGAGGACCGAACCGCCGCCUGUUGAAAAAGGCUCGGAUGACUUGUGGCUAGGGGAGAAAUUCCAAUCGAACU
rnacentral:rRNA from 1 species